GAUGAACGCUGGCGGCGUGCUUAACACAUGCAAGUCGAACGGAGGAGCGAUUUCGGUUGCUCUUCAGUGGCGCACGGGUGAGUAACACGUAGCUGACCUGCCCUCAAGAGUGGGAUAACGGUUCGAAAGGACUGCUAAUACCGCAUAAGCUCACGUGCUUUAGAGGCGCGAGAGAAAAGGCGAAAGCCGCUAGAGGAGGGGGCUGCGGACCAUCAGCAGUUGGUGGGGUAAUGGCCUACCAAGGCGACGACGGGUAGGGGCCUGAGAGGGUGG
rnacentral:rRNA from 1 species